AAGGGUACACUCCAACAAUGUGGAGAAUUAUGGUUUGAAUUUGGACCAAAAAAUAAACCAACAUCGAAUAAAAUUACCUCUGACAAUAGAGCUUAAGAGAUAAAAAAUCACAACAAUUAUAUAGUUAGUUAAAAGAUAAUGGAUUAAAUAAGUUUUUGUGUCGUAUUAAAUUUCAAAAGUAAGGUGUUCUAUAGCAGACCAAAUAACUUAUACAAUACAGAACUUGUGAAUCAUAGAGGCACUGGCGGAUCUUGGUAGGGACAACGGGUGGCCGCGGCCACCCAAAAAAAAAAAAAACCUUAAACCUAAAUCUGUAUCGUCUCUUUUCCUCUCACUUCCGGUCUUCCUCUAUUUCUCCCUUUUUCUUUAGUGAAGAAUUUGAGGGAGAAGAGUCAUACCCAGUAUCAGAAUCUGGAUUCUUUAUGGAGUUGUUGUCUUUGGAAGACCCUUUUUACCAUGUGAAGAAUUUGAAGGAGAAGAGACAAGUCCAGUGUCAGAAUCUGGAUUAUUUGCGGAACUGUUGUGUUUGGAAGGUGAAAAAUUGAGACUUUUUGGGGGGUUUGAAAAGUUGCGAGCUUUAGCAUGAUAAGGUGGUCGGGUGAUGUGAUUAGCAGGGAAAGAUUUGAGCUUUUGAAAACGGAAUUUGAGGUGGGUGGGAAGAUUGGAAUGGGAGAAAGAAGAAAAAUUGAUGUCGGAGAUUUGUUGUAGAAAGAUAACAUCUUGUGCUUGAUUGAAGAUUUCUUCGAUUGUGGAAUCGUCGCUGUCAGAAGGACUUGCAUAUAAGGGUCUUUUUCAACAUCUGAGAAUGAAGUGUUUGGUCAUUUUCAACAUCUGAGGAUGAUGUGGACUAUAGAUCCAUCCUCUUGCAGUCUAUCCUCGUACAGUCCAUCCUCGUGCAUGUAAAAUCUUGCCUAUGGCCUCAUUGUUUAAAUUGCUUUAUUUAUUCAUUCUUUGAUACUGAUUUAUCUUCUCAUUAUGACUAAAAAUCAUUGUUUCAAUGAUGAUGAAUAUUUUGCAACUUUGAAUGUUCAUCCUCUUAAGAGUUCUUGUAUGACUAUCCUCCAGUUUUGAAGACUUGGUGGAUUAAGUCAUAAUUUUCUCCUUUUUUUCUUAAUGAUGAGUAACCCGUUUUCUAAUAUGAAUUCACUCAAAAGCAUAAAUUAGUCAUUAACUACAAUCAUAAUCUUUUAAAUAAUUUUGUUAUCAUUAAAACCAUUUGAGAGAGAUUUUGUCUCAACAGCAUCAUGAUUUAUUUUAUUUUUAUUUAUUUGAAGAGGAAUGAUAAGUUUGCAAUUUUCACAUUACAUAUUUGAUUUCUGUUGCAUAUUAGCGCUAGCAAAUUAAAAGCAUUUGUUAAAUGUAUUCUAUAAUAACCCACCUUAAAAUUAAAAUUCCUUUUGAAAUCAACAAAUUGAGUCAUCAAUAAGUCUACUACUAAAUUAAUUUGUUGUGUUGUUUCUAUUAUAUGCGGUUCAUUUUGUGUGUGGUCUACUUUGUUGAUUUUCAUUUUGUUAAUCAUAGUAAACAUCUGUUGGGAAGUUUAUUUAUCUGAGAAAAUUUUUUAUAGUAUUGAUUAAUCGUAUAUAGUGAAGAUAAUGGUGUUCCAUGUUAUAAAUUAUGUGCUCUCCCUGGAGAUUGAUAAGGUAAAGUAUCUGAAAUAUGGUUGGUGGGGGAAGCAGACAAAGAUAAUAGCCGCUAAGUAAUUAAACCAUCUUUUACUGUUGUUGGCUUACAUAAAUACUUAAAGCAGGACAAGAAAAAAUCAACUUAAUUUCAAUUUGAAAAUCAAAGGGAACACAUUUUGCUAACCAGGCGGCUUAGCGACUAUUAUACAUUGCGAUGAAUUUCGAGGUCUCUUUCCAAGGACUACUAAAGUGAAAUGUAUAAGUGAUGCAGGCUUGUUUCUUGAUUCGUGAUAACUUGAGCUCUGGAUAUCGGAUUGGUUUAUACGAGCAGGCGUUGGAAAGCUAAAAAUUAGAGCUACAACUUUAGUGUUGGAAUAAAAGUCCAAUACUGAACUUUACUAGGCCUAAAUUGUAGAUUUUGUAAUUUGAACUUUUGUAAUAAUUUUAAAUAGCGGGUCACUUGUUUUUAAAUCUUAAACCCAAAGUCCAAUAUCGAGUACUAUAUAUUGAUAAUUUUGUUUCUUUUUACGGUAGGAAAUAUUAGGACUCAGAAUGCUACAAGAAAUAAACACUUUUUAUUUUAAUUUCA